CUAAGCUCCACCACCCACCUCCCCUUUCACUGCCCCACCAUGAACUACAGUGUACCCUUUCGGCCUGACCACAGGCAGUACCUGACCUUGCCUGCCCCCCCACAAGCUGAGAGAGGGACCGCCACCCUUUUCUGGGCUCAUGUAGCCUCCACCACAUAGGGAUUAAGAGCUAGACUGCCAGGAUUCAAAACCUAGCUCUGGCCCUUCCUUGCUGUGUGACCUUGGGAAAGUUACUCCACCUCUCUGUGCCUCCACUGCCUCUCCUGUCAAAUAGUGAUACACAUCAUCUACCUCAAAGGACUGUUGUGAGGAUUAAAUAAGUUUAUAUCUGUGAAGCACACAGGACUGGACCCAGACCCUAGCAAGUGUGCCCUAAGUGUUUGCUAUCAGUCAAAAGAGUAGGAGCAGCUAUUCUUUGAACCCUCGUGUGACCACAUCUCACUCCAAGUCCAAAGCCUGCGUUUUAGAUGGCUCAGGUGCCCUCCCUGAUCCGCCCUCCUCUCUCCAUUCUUCCCCUGUUCUUCCCCUUUCUCACUCUGUUCCCCUGGCCCCCUCCAGUUCCACCAGCACUCCAGGCUUUCCCCUGCCUCGGGGUCUCCCCACUGGCUGUUCCCUCCCCAGGGAGCUGCAUGGCUCCUCCCUCCCCUCCUUUGUUGUGAGCUUCUUUGAGGUGUGAGGCCUUCCCUGGCCACCAUCUAAUUGCGACCCAUCCUCCACGAGCCCGCCAGCAGGCCCACCCGCUUCCCUGCGUUAUGGAUUCGUGGCCCUUACCGCCUUCUUACGGGCUGUGUGUGCAGUUUCCUUAUUUGUUCUGUUCUUCUGUCUCCCCCUCUAGAAUGUGAGCUUUGCAAAAGCAGGGAUCUUUGGUUGGUUCCUUGCUAUCUGCAGCUCUAGAACAUUGUUGAGCACAGAAAAUAUUUGUGGGAUGGAUAGACCGACGGAUGGGCCCCACCUAGGGCCCCACAGGAAUAAAAGGUGGCAGCCCUCGGCCCCAGAUCUGUCCAGUCCCACAGCCUAUGCCCCACCACUGUGCCCUCCUGCCACCUGCCUGGUCCAUCUCUGCGGUAGAGCUUCUGCCCACCCUGGCUUACACAGGGCAGAAGCAAGUCUGAGACAACUCCAGGCCCUGAUCCCCACCCAGCAUGGCCCAGGCCAGGAACUGAGGUCCCAGAAGAUGUUUGCUGAGUGAGCAAAGAGUGAGUGAAGAGUGAGCAAGGGGCCGUGCGCGGGCCAGGGCAGCCAGGACAUGCCUGGUCCCGUGUCCGCGGCGCGAACAUGCUCAGGGACAGUAGACUCAAACCGGCUCUGCCAGUGGGGCUGGGGUGGAGACGGCGGGCUGGGGCAGACACCGGCAGACAUGGAGGGGUGCACUGGGGACGGGGCCUGCAGCCCAGAAAGGGCAGAAGCCCAGCAGGGGGGCCACGGAGCUCCUACCAAACUCACGCCCUGGAGAGCACAACUGUCCCAGCCCUGACCGCUCUUCUGCUUCCUCCCAGGCAGAAAAGGGGCCUCUAUCAGACCCCAACCCCUGGCCUGCACUGUAGGGGACUGGAUCCCUUCCCAAUGGGUCCUGUGCAGGGCCUGGAAGCCCUCCAAGGAAGCGUACUGCCUGGAAGUGGGUGGCGCCUGAACAAGGCAAGGAGAGGUGAGCCCUGGGCUGUGCAGAGACCACCCGGUACGGAAACCCUGAUCUGUCCCAAGGUGCUGGGGAGACUUGAGUGAAUCCACGAGCCCUUCUGGACUCAGUUUCCCUGUGUGGAAAGUGGUGUUGGGUAUGGAUUCCAGGACUGUGAAUCCCAAGGUGCUGAGUUACCUGAAAGGGGCCACUCAGCCCUCCAGCCCCUUCCCAAAGCCCAGCUCUGGGGUGACCACGGCCAGAGCCUGGGCCCACACACAUGCCCUUACUCCCCACAAAAACAACAGUAAUCAAAAUCCUUACUAACUACUGAACACAUGGCGUAUGCGGGACAUCAGGUCGGCACUUCACACUCAGUCUCAUCGGCUCCUCCUGCCAGCACUGUGGGGUAGGGACCGUUACUGUGCCCAGCCUCCUCCUCUCAGGCUGGCUAAUACAGAGCAGGGAACCCUUCUGAAAUGUCAGUUUGAACCCUUCGUUCCUGCUUAAUACCACCCACAGAACCCACACGCCUGACACAAAGGCCAAAGUCGUCACAGGGGCCUCCAAGGCCCUCAGUGGCCUCCACCAACCCCAUCCC
rnacentral:lncRNA from 1 species